rnacentral:rRNA from 1 species
GCCUGACCUCGGAUCAGACGUGAUUACCCGCUGAAUUUAAGCAUAUUAUUAAGCGGAGGAAAAGAAACUAACAAGGAUUCCCCUAGUAACGGCGAGUGAACGGGGAAGAGCCCAACACCGAAUCCCUUGGCGCAAGUCAACGGGAAAUGUGGUGUUAAGGUAGCCCUUCGUGUCAGUCUAGGCGUCUCAAGUCCACCUGAUUGUGGCUCAAGCCCAGAGAGGGUGUAAGGCCCGUAGAGACGCUCCGACUGAUUCCUGGGGUUUACCUACGAGUCGGCUUGUUUGGGAAUGCAGGCCAAAGCGGGUGGUAAACUCCAUCCAAGGCUAAAUACUGGCACGAGUCCGAUAGCGGACAAGUACCGUGAGGGAAAGUUGAAAAGAACUUUGAAGAGAGAGUUCAAUAGUACGUGAAACCGCUUAGAGGCAAACGGAUGGUGCUCAUACUGGCCUGAGGAAUUCAACUGUGACGGUGGCUGGACGAGCUGGCGUUCCGAUCUCUCUUUUGGGACGGGCGUCGGUUUGGCUAUCAGCUCCGACAUGGUGCACUUUCCUUGGUGCCUCCGCCACGACCGACGACACUGGCUACCGCGGCUGGGGUAAGGUGACAAACUGCUUCGGCAAUUUGUGUUAUAGACCCCGGCGUCGGACAUGGUUUGGCCAGGACGUCGAGCUUGCGGCGCCCGCUCCUUGUGGGCUCGCAUGUUGGCUAGCUUGGCUGCGCCGAUGCUUGCACUGGACAACCAGUACAGGUGACGGUUGUGGUCUUGUCUCUAGUUGGCCUCUGCGAGUUUGGCGCCUAUAGUCUGUGGUGUACUUGUGGGUAGACUAUCCGACCCGUCUUGAAACACGGACCAAGGAGUCUAACAUGUGCGCGAGUCAUGGGGAUUCUACGAAACCCAAAGGCGCAGUGAAAGUAAAGGCCUGCUUCUCGUAGGCUGAGGUGGGAUCUCGUGCAUCGCGAUUGGCGAGCGCACCACCGGCCCGUCCUAUCUGUCUCUGUCAGUGGGGCGGCGCAAGAGCGUACACGUUGGGACCCGAAAGAUGGUGAACUAUGCUUGCGCAGCUCGAAGUCAGUGGAAACACUGAUGGAGGAGCGCAGCGUUUCUGACGUGCAAAUCGAUCGUCAAACGUGAGUAUAGGGGCGAAAGACUAAUCGAACCAUCUAGUAGCUGGUUCCCUCCGAAGUUUCCCUCAGGAUAGCUGGCACUCGGGAAACAGUUUUAUCCGGUAAAGCGAAUGAUUAGAGGCAUUGGGGUCGAAACGACCUCGACCUAUUCUCAAACUUUAAAUGGGUAAGAUGCUCGUCUCGCUUAAUUGGAGGCGGGCUUCACCUCUCUAUAAACGUGAAUGUGAGUGCCAGUGGGCCAUUUUUGGUAAGCAGAACUGGCGCUGUGGGAUGAACCAAACGCGCGGUUAAGGCGCCCAAUGCGGACGCUCAUGAGACACCACAAAAGGUGUUGGUCGAUACUGACAGCAGGACGGUGGCCAUGGAAGUCGGAACCCGCUAAGGAGUGUGUAACAACUCACCUGCCGAAUCAACCAGCCCUGAAAAUGGAUGGCGCUGGAGCGUCGGGCCUAUACCGUGCCGUUGGGGCGAAGCAGACAAAUAAUCUGUGUGGAUGUCCCAACGAGUAGGAGGGUCGCCGUGGUGAGCGCAGAAGGUGCGGCCGUGAGGCCGGCUGGAGCCGCCACGGGCGCAGAUCUUGGUGGUAGUAGCAAUUACUCAAGUGAGAACCUUGAGGACUGAAGUGGAGAAGGGUUCCAUGUGAACAGCAGUUGAACAUGGGUCAGGCGGUCCUAAGCGAUCGGGUAACUCCGUACCUAGACGAGGGUGACAACUAUCACUGAUAAUACUGUGAAGUGUUAUAGCCCUCCGGAGCGAAAGGGAAUCGUGUUAAUAUUCACGACCCUUACCGUGGAGAUCGCCCCUUUCGGGGGGCAAGUGCGGUAACGCAAACGAACACAGAGACGUCGGCUGGAGCCCGGGAAGAGUUCUCUUUUCUUUGUAAGGAGCGUACCCCCUGGAAUCGGCUUGUCCGGAGAUAGGGGCGUGGCUUCCGUAAAGCAGCGGGUCUUGCGUCUGUCCCGGUGCACUCUAGUCCGGCCUUGAAAAUCUGUGGGAGACAGUGUGAUUUUCACGGU